ensembl:lncRNA
UAAACACUGAGUAAAAAUCCUUCAAUAUUUUUAUUGUAUUUCUGACAGUGUACACACAAAACAAUAAUAUACAAACACACACACACAUACGCUGUCCUUCGGCUUAUUAAAAAGGCUAUGUCAUGUUUUUGCUUGGUCAAAAAAAACAAAACAACAACAACAAAAAACCAACAACCUGUUAUUACUGUGCUGACUUCCUCAUUUUGAAAUGAUUAGUUGUUGUUGUUUUUUUGUUUUUGUUUUUGUUUUUUUUUACAUCAUUUCAUCUUGGUUGAUGAUGGGCACUAACCUGAUGAGCGCACAUGAAUGAAAGUAAAACUUUCUGUGAACGCAGCUGCUUCUCGCCGGGUGCGGUGGCGCGUGCCUGUAAUCCAAGCUACCGGGAGGCUGAGGUUGGAGGAUCGUUUGAGCUCAGGAGCUCUGAGCUGCAGCAGGCUAUGUCGAUCCUCCAACCUCAGCCUCCCGGUUGCUUGGAUUACAGGCACGCGCCACUGCACCCGGCGAGAAGCAGCUGCGUUCACAGGGCUUUUAACUAUGUCUGAGGUGACAUCAUCACAGUAACCUGCUGCCCACCAUUAGCAAAGUUGUAAUGAUGGGCAGCAAAGUUCAGGGAUGAAUGAUGCACAACUGUCCUAUGCAAGUUUUGAGAAAUAUCGUGGUUAACCAAAAUUUUAAGAGUAUUUUGUUACAAUAUUAAGAGGAGGAAGUGCUCAAUGUCAGAAACUGGAUUUGAACCCACACCUCCAGGGGAGGCUGCGACCUGAAUGCAGCGCCUUACACCGCUCGGCCAUCCUGACAUACAUGUGCUGAUUGGGUGGAGGUUACUAGUUUUAGAUACUUUGGAAGAAACAAACAUUAUCCUUCUCAUAACACAUAUAGCAGCUGUUCAGCCAUAGAAACGUACUACGAAUAAUCUGCAAUGUCAUCCAUACUGAUCAUUUGGCUAGUGGGUUUGUGGGACUCGAAAACACGCCUCCAGGAGAAACUGUGCCCGAAUCACAGCACCUUAGCCCGCCAUUACACCAUGGAACCACAACAAAUUAGAUCAGCAUUAUUGUUGUAGUAUUUUUAAAUGUCUGUACAAAAGAAAGAACGCCAGAUGCAUUGCCUGCAGUUUUAGAUUAAUAGUCGUAUAAAACUUUGUUGUUCACAAAAUUUGUAAAUUUAUGGACAAAAUUUGUGCAUAAGUUUUAAAAAUGUACAAUUUCUAUUUGUCUAAGGAGCUUGGAAAGAAAAGCGUCUGGACUUCUUUGAGUUGCUUGAAGACGUUUCACCUCUCAUCCGAGAAGCUUCUUCAGUUCUAAGGGUCAAUGGUGGAGAGUCCCAGAUUUAAACCCAGUGGGAGUUUCCCCCCAAAGAGGGACAAAGGACCCCCUGAUGAUGUUCUACCUAAUCACAUCAGCCAAGGUGUGAAAGUGGGCGUCGGUCCCAAUCAGCCAGGGUUUCGGGUGAGCUCAUUGUGAAACCUGGCCCCACCCUAUCAUGUGAUUUCCUGAGGUCAGAUGGCCCAGGAUGUGAGUGGGCGGUAAGGCGUCUGGGAAGGGAUCUCAAAACUGGAUUAUAGAUGGCAGACAGUUGGUGUCGUAAACCACCGCCUCUGUUCAAAGAUGGUCGCUCACAGUGGACGUCAGCAACUCAAAGAAGUCCAGACGCUUUUCUUUCCAAGCUCCUUAGACUACGAUGACCUGGAUGACUUUGAACCUUCACAGACAUACAAUUUCUAUUUCCAUUUCAAGUUAUGAAGAUAAUUUACUAAACAUGUCUGUGGUUUUUACAGUAAGAAGAAAAUA